AAUAAAAACAAACAGGUGAGCUGGGAGGUCUCCAACCCAGCCCUCACCACUGGCCCAGCUUUAGCACGUUAGGGAUGUCUGAGGGCAAAGGCACAAAGGCAUUACCAGGGCUGUCCUACCCCAGAACGUUUCUCCCAGUGGUUACACGUGGCAAGGAGCCGGUGAGGCCCCAGCGCUCCUCAGCUGUGCCUCAGGAUGCAUCCUCCAGGGAGCACGGCAGCCCUGGUGAAGGAGGGCCAGCAGGGCUGCGGGUGGCAGAGACGGGGCAGCGCUGUCCUGGCACUGAGGAGCAGCCAGGGGAGCCCCGGGGCCGGGGGAGCCCCGGGCGGGAGCAGCAGCACGGAGUGGGAAUGGGAACGGGGAGGUUGCAGGGAGAGGCUGCUGGGGCUGUGCUGGCAGCGCCGGGGCUCCGCUCGGCUCCACGCUGACAUUACCAGCUUCCUGACUUUCAUAAGCACAGAAUCAGGUUUCAGGAUUUCACAGUAUGCCUGGUUUUGGACAUAUUAAGUGGGAUGUGUAGGGUAAAUAUUUAGUGAGUCGAGCAUCAAUUUAGCUGCAAUCUGCCAGUAAGGCCCUUUACAACACGCUGAAUGCCUUCCCUGGAAAUCACAACUCAACAUUAACAUACAAAUGAGGCGCUUGUCAGAUAGAAGCUGAGUGGAGCACUCUCCUCUGCAAGCCUAAUGGACAGCUGAACCAGAGAUGCCUGCUCAAAUUAAACUUUCAGUUACUCCAACAAAGUGCAGUUCGCAGUCACUCUAUUUCAUCAAGGCGUAGGGGAACCAAAACCAUGGAAGAAAUUCUCCAUAAGUACUUUGAGGUAGUUACUUACGAAAGAAUUCUUCUUCUGCAGUUUCAGCCCUCUGCAGGGAAGUUAUGGCUUUGAUAAAUUGCAGGUACAAUAAAUAUAAAUGCAUAUAAAUUACAAGAGGGUUUUUUUUUUUUCAUUGUACUUGGGAAUUUUUCUUGUCUUCAGAAGCGGAACUACUUACUGCCAUAUCUGCAGAGCCCCUACACUAGACAGUUUAGAUGGCACUAAUCACUGCAAGGGCAAUUGCCCCUGGAAAGCAGCAGAAUCCUCUAAAAGACCUGUCAUAUCCCAGAUUUCACCCAGUGACAGCAACCCAGUGGGAUUCUAGUGCAAUAUUAUGUCUGAUUUAUACCUGGGAAUGAAGCUGUAUUUAUCCAGCAUUUAAGAACAUGUCCACUGGUACAGAUGCCUAAUUACAUUCUGUCUGGCAAACUCGCUGGGCUCUGCCUGAUAACCUAAGCAGCCUCUCAUUUUACAUCAGAACAAGAAUACACACAGACACAGACACACACAUACACACACACCCAACUCUCCCCUCCUGCCCUGUGCUCUGUCCCAUUUAGCCCCAGGUUUUCCAGAUGUUAGAGCACAGCAAUCCACCUAAUUAGAAGAGAAAGAGGAUUGCCUUCCUUGCUGCAGCGCUGCCAUGCCCUGGCCAGGACCCAGGCUCUCUCCAGCAGGGGGAAACGUUAAAGAGAAUCUCAGCUGCCCCACUUGACACCAGCCACAGAACGCAACAGAGCGAGGCACCAAAGGAGCUGCUCGGCUCCUUCUGCACUUGGUAGAGGAUUUUAGAUACUGAGAUGCCCUCAACAGGCACCUGUCCCUUGGAACAGCCACGGUUUCUCCUCUCCAAACACAAGGAACUAAAACUAGGAUGUGAGUCCUUCUCACAAGGAUCUGAAAUACAAGCACAGUCUGGUGGAGAAGCCUCUAAAAACCUUCCUCUUUUCCAUGGCAAACUUGAGACCAUUAAAAUGCUCUAAGUAUUACCCAAAUUCUGCUCUUUAUCUCCAUUCAGCAGAUUUUUCUAUCCUUACCCCAUAACUAGAAAUCAUCUAUUAGUCCUGCUGAUGAGCACUCAGCUAUAUAACUUCAGACUGUCCAGAGGAGCCAUUACCUGGAACUGCAUAUGGAACAUUCCUCCACGAAGUGGAAAUUCAAGAUCUCCUGUCAAAUGCCAGUCUUUAAAGCACGGAUUCGUGCCUGGAAGGACAAGUUUCCCAUGGCAAGGUGCCCUCCAGGAAGGACAGCAAAAGAGAUGGAGGAGCUCUAACUGUUGAAAGACAGACUACCCAGAAGAUAAACAUAAUUACAGGCCAAUUCUUGCUCCUCUGCCAGUAUGAUGUGAGAUUGGAAAGAAGAAUCAGAGCCAAUGUCUCCAGCUAAAGCGCAGAAAGACACCAGGACAAAGCUUGUGUGGGUGUGCACAGGUAUCCUGCAGUCCAGCACUAUAAGCUUUAGUUUUAAUUACCCACAAAUCUUUGCAUAAAAGCAGCUGUUUCCCAGCCCUCUUCCAGACCCUGUGAACAAAGACCCUUUGGGGUGUGAAGGAUGUGUCUGUGUGGGGGUGUGAGUGUGCCUGUGCUGUUCUUUGCAUCCCCCUUUUCCCCUCUCACUCCUUCAGAGCAACGCUGCAGAAGUGCCACUGCUGCACUGUCUUGUUUUCAGAUGGUGUUUUCAUCUACUCUGCUUCAGAGAAUAAAUUAUUCAUGGAACUCUGAUGGGGACAAUUUCUCUGUGAGGAGGAUCAGCACAGGGCCAUCCCCAAAGCCCCAGUUGGUGCUGGAAGCUCCACCUGCAGAUGUUCCACAUGUGUGUCUUUAUAAAGCUCAGCUCAAGAGCCAGCAGCAGGGAAGGCAAAGCCUUGUGCCCUCAUCCUCUGCAGGCAGAGCCCUGGCACAGCUUGGGCCGUGGCUUUAGGGUUUCAUUCUGGAUUUACACCGUGACUGUCUUACCUCUAACUUAAGUUCACACACUGUUUAAUUAUGUUUAAUUACAACGAGCAUCCAAUAUGUUAAAAAUGCAGCUACCUUCACUUUUCCUGUCAGCAUGCAAUUAAAAGUAACUCCCAAUCUCUUUUCCUUCUUGCCAUUUUGUUCUGAAGGAACUCAGGACAAAUAUGAUUAUGGGCUGAGAUUUUUCCUAAAUAACAAUGGGGAUUUUUUCUGCAAAUUACUACUGCUUUUGAAGGAGCUCUAAUACUUUAAGCAGUGAUAAAGUGGCAGCUGUACAUGUUUAAUUUCUGAGAGCCACAGCAUAAUGCACAAGCAUUAAUCCCUCCAGCUGUCCAGUAAUUAAACAUCAUGUAAAGCCCAGAGGAUAUCAUUGCUGUGCUACCUUAUCUUAUUUAUGAAGGACUUGAAUUUGUUAAAUCUAGCAAUUCUUUUUUUCCUUCUUGGAAAUAAUUGUAAAUUCUUCCACCAUGGCAAGUGUACUGAAGUUACAGCUACCCUCUGUAAAAUGCCAGGAAUUUCAGACCAGCCAUGUUUCUUUUAAUCACAUAUUAAAAUAAUGGAUAAUGACAGUGCAUAAAUAUUUCUUUUACAGGCAUGACUGUGAUGCUGUGGGUUUUAACCCUGUUAAAAUUGGUGGGUUUCUCAGGGAGAAUGCAUGGCAAAAUCUGAUCCUUUGGGUUUGAUGUCCCUCUGAGCUGACUUAGGGACAGCACAUAAUGAAUGUUAAUUCAUUAACAGGCAGUGAGCAGAACUAACUUUGACAAAAGCACACAUUAAUCAAACUGUGAUGAAAGAUAAAAUCAGUGCUACAUUAUCACCAAGUUAGAAGGUCUCACUGGGAUCAGUGGAGAUCUGGAAUGGACUGGAUCAGUGUGGUCAAAUCCCAGAAGGGAGCACUGGAAGUGUGACUCAUGCAAAAUACAGGCACCUUUGGCUCACAAAAAAGAAAAGAGUGCUGGGACAACACGAUGCUCUUUAUAGUUACAGGACAAUGAUGAAUGACAAAACAAUUGACAAACUGCCGAUAGAAAGGUCACUUCAUGUGAGUGUAGGUGCAGGAGCAGAGUGGGGGAAGGUGACUUUAAAUCAGCUUUGCAAUUCCCCCCCUUCAGCCAGGUGGAUCUGCUGGAGGGAUGAACAGCUUUAGCCUGCUUUAAAUUCUGCCUUCAGCCAGUGGUUUCCAGCUGACCUGAGGGCUGUUAACCAGGGCACUGGCAAGAGCUGACUCUGUGUUCUGCACUUGGAACCUUGCAAGAAAAGCAUCCCUCACUUGGAGGGGCUGCUGCUUUUUUUGAGAGUGAGCCUGGAGCUGCGCCAGGAGAAGUGGGAAGUUCACCACCUGAGGAUCCUGGAAAUGAUCUAUUUACAUGGGAAAGCCUGUGAGAUGCCAUGGCAAGGACACACGGUUACAGCUGAGCACACUGUGCUUACUGUGGUUUCCCUUAAGAAUUAAAAAAACCUUUAUCCACUUUGUUCACUUUUAAUCUGGCACAUCAUAAUAUCAUAAGGCUGAAAAUCUAGAACUAAUUCUGAGAUACAUGGUCAGCAAUGAAAAGCCUGAAGACCAGAGUCCAAAAAAGAUGCUCUGGCUGACAAGGUUGUCACUGGCAUGAGGCUCCUGCAGGAAUUCCCAGGUCUCACCUCAGCCAAGGUUAGUGUGAGCAUGUCCAUUGCCUGCAAAAGUUCCCCAUGAUCGCUGUCUCUGUGCUACAGUUUAGGAGGAUAACCAGCUCAUUCUGCUAUCAAUAUAUUAAUGAAUUCAUCAUUUCACUGCAUCCAUCUGUUGGGAAAGGAGAAACUGGUGCACUUCCAACUCCUCAUCUGCAAGACACCAUUUCCAUACUGAGUGCAAGCAGCGGUUCAGGUGAGAACCAGUGACACAGCCAGAAGAGAUGGGGCCAGAGCCUUGUUCUCUGUGAGCAGCCCAGAGUCCUCUCAGGAGGGACAUGUGUGCACUAAAGGGGUUCAGUGCCAUUUCAGCUGGUGCAGGAUGGCAGCUCCUCUCUUCCAAAGCCACUCUCAAGUGCUCUCUGCAUUCCUGAGCAGCUGACAAAACACUGCUUACUGUCUCCCUCAGCAGAGAUUUAACGAGUUCUGCAGUAGUUGGCCAAGUCCAGACGGACCCUGAGUUGUGUUGCUUUAAUUACAGCCUCUCCUAUUUAAUUUCUCUUUUGGUCUCAGUAAACUCAGUCCUAAGCUUCUCCAAUCCAUUGUGAGAAAGGUUGGGUGCACUGGGAACAGAAAACCUUCACCAGGGAAAUAAGGAGGCUGCCAGCACCUCCAAGCCAGAAAAUUCAAGGCUACUAACCCUGACCUAUGACUACAACACACCUGGUAUUGUGAAGACUCAAAUUACUUCUGCUCAAAAAAACUGAAAAAUAAUAUUUUUCUUUUUAUAUAGUCUUAUUUUUAAAAAGGCAGAUAUUUGCAUUUUAAAAUCUGUGCACUGGAAGUCAGUAGCAUUCUUAAAGCCUGUCUGUUGGAAGUCAAUUAUUUAGGCAGACAGGCACUUAACUACCUAUGUGCAAGGAUUAAUACCUGCAACUAACCCCUGGUGCAACUCCAGCCUGUGCAGACACAAAUCUGGAUCCCUGAUCACUGGUGCUUUAUCCAUUGCAGGUGAAAGAAUUUCAGUUUCUAUUGCUUCCUUGACAAGCUCUUCCACAGGGUGAAAAUCACACCAUUGUCUCCUCAUUCAGAUUCUCUACUUUUGUCCCCAGGUCUCUGAACAGCUGCUUUGUCCCCCCAGUGUCUGCACUGGAUACAUUUCUCAUGGAUUCAAAAAGCAAGGAUAUCAUUCUGAGAGGAAAAAUCCAGCAAGAAUUACAAGGUUCAGAGCAGUAGCUGGAAAGGAAACUGCUGGAGGAGGAAGAACAAUAAUACACCUACACUGUCCCUAGAGUUUUGGAUGACUGUACACCAUAAUCUUUACUGUCCUCUCCUGCAGGAGAUCCUCCCUUAACUUGGCUGUGAACAUUCUGACACAGGAACAGGUCCUUGCACAGCCUCAGCACAACCAAGCUUUGCUCCUGGAUACCAGCACUAUCUUGUUACUGGUACAAACUACCCGUGCAGAAAUGCAGGCAUAAAUAAGGUUCAUAAACUCCAUAUUAAAUCCUCUUGAAGAAUUAUAAAUCCAAGAGCCAGUUAUUCCUAUCAAAAAGCAAGAGUAUAGACAGUUCAAACAUUUUUGAAGUGUCACAUGAGGUUGCAGUAAUAGCUUUGUUAACGUGGAUUUAGAAAGAGCUUAGGGGUUUUUCUUCUGGAUGCCCUCCCUCACACCAUCUUCAAGUCAUCAUCCACUUGUUUAUUGCACAUGCAGACUCUCACCACAGAAAUUAUUCUGAGCACAAAUAAAUCCCCUUCCAAACAUUUAUCCAGCAAGAUGUGUUAUUUAUAGACAAGCUGGCCAGCUCUGUGAGGAGUGCAGCCUCUGUGACAGGGUGCUGUGCUCCAAGGGGCUGCUGUGACAGGCAGUGCUGAAGCUUAUUGUACAAUGAGAAUAAAAACCUGAGUGCAGAGAUGAAAUUAACAAAACAAAGAGAAGAAGGGGUCUGAAGUGGUCAGGAUACUGUGUGCUGCUGAGAUAAGAGGAAACAGAGAAAGGAGGAUUCUAACCAGAGAAGAAAUGGGAAUGUUAACAGAGUAUCAGUGGACAGGCUUAGUGAGGUUUAUCAGAUUUGGAUAAGGGAGAGGAUAGCUAUCAAUCCUCCACAAGCUCCCUGUUGAAACAGCUCACACAAUUGUCCUCAUCCAUGAGGAAAAGACCUUCAUUUGACAGGCAACCUCCCUGAAAGUGCUCCCACUACAGCCAUUCAGCGGUGCCUCCUAUUUCCCUCCCAAAGCCACAGUUUUGACCUCUGAAAGAUGCUGAGUUGAGAUCUUGGGACUGAAAGCUUUUGAUGUUUGCAGCCACCCAGGAUGCUCCAAGUUCACCUGUCAAUGCCUUUUCCCCUGGUCCUCAUGCCCAUCCCACAGGCAGACUCAGCAGAGAUUCCCAGUGUGUGGGCAGAAUGCUCAGUCAUUAGAAACUGGUUGAGAGCUCCUAAUUCAUUUCUCACCAGUUACCUAGCAAACAUCAAAAUGUGGUAAUUUGUCCUUGGAUUAAUUUUUUUAAAGGUUUUUAAGAACCUGCACAAGCACUAAAACUGGAAGCUAACUAUGAGUAGAGAUGCUGAAACAUCCAGAGCAGAAACACUCAGCUAUUUCCAAAUCCAUUAAUAGCAUCAUUAUGCUGAAAUUAUGUGGCAUUCAGAACAUAUUUACAUGCAUUUUGGGGGUUACCUAAGGCUUUGAAAAAAAAAAGUUCAAAGCAAUUUCAAGUAGAUUUUUAUUAUAACUAAAAGACUCUGUGAGACCAUUCCCACUGGCGUGAGCAGCAGCAUUAAAUCAGGGGAGGCAGUCACCAGUGUAAAAAUUGUUCUAAUUUCACAAACUCAUAUCAGGAAAAUAGCAGUUACAAUUAUCUUCUGAAUUCGUUUCUAAUUCAAGCCUCCCAUUCAAAGAAAAAAAAAUGUACAUGCUGAAGAGAAAACACUUAAGAGUUUCACAUGGAAAACCAAUAAAAAGGAAAAUAAAAAAAGGACUAAGAAAAUAUACUUUUACAAAGAGAGUUAAAUAGUGGAACAAGCUGCUCACAAAGUAAAAGCUUUGAUAAUAUUUUGUUUGAUAAAGCUGAUGGCAAAGAAAUAAAUUUGUCCACAGCACUCCACUCAGAGCCACAGAAUGUUAAUGUAAAACAUAUUUCCUUAUACAGCUUCAAAGAAAAGAUAUAACGUGGAUUAUGAACUGGGCAGGAAUUAGAGCCCAAAAUCCAGCUUUCAAAUGAAGAAACUUCAGUUUGUGCUUGAAUUCAACCCUUUCACCAGUAACCUGCAAGUAAAAGUAACAUUGCUGAUACCACAUGCAACACUGGAAAUAUUGAGGGAUGGGUGAAUACAUAGAACUUAAAGAGCUUCUUAAAAGCCUGGGAUCAUUUGCAGAUGAAGAAUUUAAUAAGAACAGUAUUAGAAAUCAGAAAGGUGAUUUUACCUCUGCACAGACUGGCAAGACUGAUACUCCCUAAAUUCUGGUGGUCUGUAUAAAAAGAAAGUUGGAAAACCAACUGGAAUAGCAAAGGGAGCCACAAGAAUGAGUCAAGCAUUCAUUCAAAAGGGAAUAUUUGACAUCAAGAAGCAUAAAGAACCAAUAUAUUUGGUCUACCAAAAAGGCAGCCUGAGAAAUAGUUUGACCACACAGUGCAGGAGUUCUCACAGACUGAAAACACUGUUAAAGGGCUCUUUCAUUCAGCACAGAAAGGCCUAAUAAAAGGCAAUGGCCAUUUAGGGACUGAAUUUAAAACAGUUAUGGGUACAGAGUACAUCAUUCUCUCUCUGUCCAGUGAAACCAACAAGCCAUCAAUGUCCAGGCCUAUCUGUUCUACCCCAGCAGAAGCCAGCCUGAGUCUGUCCCCACUCUGCACAGGACACAGCAGGAACCUGCUGAGCUACCGCAGAGGAAGGUUUGGACCUGAUUUAAGUCCUUUCCAUAUCACCUGGGUGUUAACUCUAAUAAUAAUACUUAAUUCUUCACAGAGUCAUUCAUGCAUUCCUUCAUGCAUUCCCCAGCCAGCCCCAGCUGAAGAACCCUUCUUUCCUCUCUGGUUCUAGAAGUCACCACUUAGCACUGCAAAGGAGAGCGAGUCAUUUUGCUGGCAGGAAAAGCCAUCCCUUUCCAUGGCAUUUGUAACAGUCCCUCCAGGACUUUGGUAGUCCUACACAGAGAUGUUGCAUCUAUAUU